AUAACAUUUGGAAACAGAUGCUAAUACCGCAUAACAAUUUGAAUCGCAUGAUUCAAAUUUAAAAGAUGGUUUCGGCUAUCACUUUGGGAUGGACCUGCGGCGCAUUAGCUUGUUGGUAGGGUAACGGCCUACCAAGGCUGUGAUGCGUAGCCGAGUUGAGAGACUGAUCGGCCACAAUGGAACUGAGACACGGUCCAUACUCCUACGGGAGGCAGCAGUAGGGAAUCUUCCACAAUGGGCGCAAGCCUGAUGGAGCAACACCGCGUGAGUGAAGAAGGGUUUCGGCUCGUAAAGCUCUGUUGUUAGAGAAGAACGUGCGUGAGAGCAACUGUUCACGCAGUGACGGUAUCUAACCAGAAAGUCACGGCUAACUACGUACCAGCAGCCGCGGUAAUACGUAGGUGGCAAGCGUUAUCCGGAUUUAUUGGGCGUAAAGCGAGCGCAGGCGGUUUGAUAAGUCUGAUGUGAAAGCCUUUGGCUUAACCAAAGAAGUGCAUCGGAAACUGUCAGACUUGAGUGCAGAAGAGGACAGUGGAACUCCAUGUGUAGCGGUGGAAUGCGUAGAUAUAUGGAAGAACACCAGUGGCGAAGGCGGCUGUCUGGUCUGCAACUGACGCUGAGGCUCGAAAGCAUGGGUAGCGAACAGGAUUAGAUACCCUGGUAGUCCAUGCCGU
rnacentral:rRNA from 1 species